UUCCCAGUCUCUAUAAGAGUCACAUUGUUAUUCAAACACAAGUCUGCCAGUCUCCAAUCUUUCUACAGCUUUCUAUAACUUUCCAUUCAUAUAAGCUAGGAACUGCCUUUCCUGUCCGGUCCUUUUAGCUCAGGCAGCUCAUGGCUGACUCCCUUGUCCCACCUUAUUUGGUCCCAACUCAUGUAUUCUUAUUCUUCCAGCAAUGCCCCGGCUCUUACUGCCUCAGUUGCCUGCCUGAGGGCCCCUUUGUUUUGGAUCUAUGAAUGGAGAUUUCCAGCUCUGGCUCUUCCCUGGUAUUCAGUGUCCACAUUUGCCUCAUGUGGGAAUUUUCUACUCCAGCUUUUCCAGCUUGGAGGUCCCUGCCUCUCCCUUUCUCCUCUUGGGAAGAAUUUAGACAUAGAUACGAUGCUGAGCCUUGGAAUCCCAACCUGCUAUUUGUUGAAGUACUUGGUUGGAAUUAAAAUGACUUUUAAAGGAGAAAUAAUAUGGCUUAUCUUUUUUUUUGGGGGGGGGGGCGGUGAGGAAGAUUGGCUCUGAGCCAACAUCUGUUGCUAAUCUCCCUCUUUUUUACUUGAAGAAGAUUUGCUCUGAGCUAACAUCUAUGCCCAUCUUCCUUUAUUUUGUAUGUGGGUUGCCACCACAGCAUGGCUUGAUGAGCAGUGUAGGUCCACGCCUGGGAUCCAAACCUGUGAACCUGAGCCACCAAAGAGGAGCAUUCCAAACUUAACCACUAUGCCACUGGGCUGGCCCCAAUAUGGCCUAUCUUUAGGUGAAUGAGAACUGGCUGGUACCUGGGCAGCAAUACCAGCCAGAUAAAUUUUCACAACAGGUUAGCCCUACACUGACAGAUGUGAUAUCAAAAAUAUGAGACCGCUCCAUAAUUAAUAAUGAAAAAGUUCUUCAGAUAACAAAACCUCUACUAUAAACUGACAAUACUCCCAAACCACAUGCACUUUUUUUGUUUUUUUUUUUGGUGAGGAAGAUUGGCCCUGAGCUAACAUCUGUGCCAAUCUUCCUCUAUUUUUUUGUAUGCAGGAUGCCACCACAUCAUGGCUUGAUGAGUGGUGUGUAGGUCCAUGCCUGGGAUCUGACCCAUGAACCCUGGGCCACUGAAGCAGUGUACCUGAACUUCACCAGUAUGCCUCUGGGCUGGCCCCAACAUGGACUUAUUUAAUAUUGAGACUUUCUCAGUUAUCUAAGUUCUGCUUGGAAAGAUCAGCAGAAAGUGGGGAUGUGCCAUUCCUACGCCCAAGUGGCCUGGAAUUAUUCCUCUCCCUUCUCCUUGCUCUUUUUGGUAUCUCAGGCUGCAUGUUCCCCAC
rnacentral:lncRNA from 1 species